rnacentral:rRNA from 1 species
UACGUAGGGUCCAAGCGUUAUCCGGAAUUACUGGGCGUAAAGCGUGUGUAGGCGGGAGUUUAAGUGCAAUGCGAAAUCUUGUGGCUCAACCAUAUAGACUGUAUUGCAUACUGGACACCUUGAGGAUGGCAGGAGGCAAGUGGAAUUUGUAGUGUAGCAAGUGAAAUGCGUAGAUAUUGACGAAGGAACACCAAUGGCGAAGGCAGCUUGCUCGGGCCAUAUCUGACGCUGAGACACGAAAGCGUGGGGAGCGAACAGG